UACGGGGGGGGCAAGCGUUGUUCGGAAUUACUGGGCGUAAAGGGCUCGUAGGUGGUCAACUAAGUCAGACGUGAAAUCCCUCAGCUUAACUGGGGAACUGCGUCUGAUACUGGAUGGCUUGAGUUUGGGAGAGGGAUGCGGAAUUCCAGGUGUAGCGGUGAAAUGCGUAGAUAUCUGGAGGAACACCGGUGGCGAAGGCGGCAUCCUGGACCAACACUGACACUGAGGAGCGAAAGCCAGGGGAGCAAACGGG
rnacentral:rRNA from 1 species